GCCUACUACAGGCUGGCCACAGUCCUGUGUUCCCCUGAUGACCAAGAUCAGGGGCACUGCUCAUCCCACCUUUCUCUAGGACAAAAGGUGGGUGGGUAAGAUAACCCAGAAUGAUGGAACUGGCCAAGGAGCACUCACUGGGGUUAGGCAGAUGCCAAAUGGGAUCUGCAAUUGAGACCAUAUGGACAGACUGGUACCCUACUUCCCCACUCAGGUGGCACCUCCUGAACAAGAAAAACUGCAGGAUCUUCUAGAAGGGGCACUGCCCCAAGAAGGUGAUGAAGCCCACAGGACAUUUUCAUCAAAACAGCCACACACAUCUCAAUGGGGUCACCCAUGCUAGGCCAAUCCUGGGUGAGAUUUCUAUCCAUCAGAGAAAAGUAGGACAUCUCUUGGCCAAAGAAGUGUCUAUAAAGGAGCUUUGAGGACACUUCCAAACUGUAUCCUUCUGAAGACCAGUCUAUAGAUGUAGAACGUUCAAUCCUCAGUGUGAAAGGUUUCAUUGAAAGAAGUUUUAACAUGUGACUGGAAACUUCCAUCUUCUCUUGGGUUCACAGUACAUCAUCUCCCAGUUUUCCUGGGAAAGACCAUCUCAGGUACAGGUGUGAAAGGACUGGCAGAGAACAAAGGCCUCAAUCCUAGAGACAAUCAAGAAGGACAGUAGCUGAGUAGGGCUUGACUCCAUCUACAGGCAGCACUGGAAAUCCACCAGGAAACAUCCUUGAGAUCCAGAGACAGCUCUCAGCAGAGGGGAAGGGAGGCUGAUGGCUCUACACUCUGGGACCUCAGGCUCAGCCUCACACAAGCAGCCUCCCUGGGGAAAGUGUAGAGGAACCUGGAAAUUUCCCCCAGGGCUACUGGGGGCUGAUGAGCAGACACUGGGUGACUUGGGCUUGCAGAUGUAGCAAGUGGUCCCAGAACCUGAGGAAGGCAAGAGGCAAAUGAACUCUCUCUCACCCAUGUUCAAGGUCCAACCUCAGAAAUCCCAGUACCUCCCAGAGCUCUGUCACACCAGGAAGGCCAGCAGCAGUCUAUUCCAUGAACACUGCCUGAGAGAAGGUUGGACAGGACACACCUGAGGGUCAAGUGGAAAACAAGGUCAUGAGAGUCUAUUGCCUGCCAUAUAUUCAUGUGGGAUUCCAACUUUGGAACCAGCUGCCAUUGCCAAGACCCUAAAGCCAGUGGGGUGGGUCACAUUUAUGAACUGCAGGCCUGGUGGAUGCAGAGGCUGCUCUGGCUGAGGGCAGUCUGACCUUGACUGCUACAUAGCUCAGGACCCUAAACUUUCAACAUGACCAGGGCCCCUGGGAGGCUCAAGUGGCCCAGCAGAGAUGUGUGGUGAGGACCUCCAAGACCCAGCUAGGCACCCAGGGCCUGAGUCUCCCCUUCAAGCCCAUCUCUUCAACCUUACACAAGAGAAAGUCUCAGCUCACCUAGGGAGCAGGACCCAAAUUCCCCUCCCUCUGAACCAGAUCUGAAGGAUUUGACAUUCUCUGGAACAUUGAUCCAGACUCCACUGGGGAGACAAGGAGGAAAUCUCCACCCAGGCUGCAUGCUGAAAUCACCCAGACACUUCAAAAAUGUCAGUUCCUGGACCUCACCCUCAGGUACUGAAUUCUCCAACACUGGGACUGACCUUUGAAAAGAGGAAUCCACUGUCGCCUCAGGACUGGGAAGGAGUCUGCAGGAUGGGGCAGUAGGGGUGUGCGAGGACUUGCACAGAUUGCAGGCUAGAUACCCUAUCUCCUACCUACCCAUUCACCCAGAGGCCUCCACAAACAACUUGCUGCCUUCAGAUUCCUGGUUGCAUCCAAGGAGUCAGGAGUUAUUCACCAGGUCCUGACCAAGGAACCUGUGACUAUCUAUAUAAAUAGUUCCAAGUCCCUUCCAUGGCACAUCUGAAACUAUCUGCCCUUGGCUCACCCAGAAUUUGCCAUUUACAGACCUUCCUCUAGGAAAACCAAGGGUGAGGGGGAGCAAAAUCAGAAGAGCCUGACCAUUUGGACCCUAUUGAAGCAAAUUUACCCAUCCUGAUGGUGCAUUAGAACCACCUGGGACCUUCGGAACUGCUGACACUUUGGACCCCACCUGGAUCGUCACUGGAGAAUCCCUGAAGGGAGCCCCCUCAGCACCGUGAAAGGUCAGCGAGUUCUAAUUUACAGCCCAGGAAUGAGUCCAUUACAAAAUCCCCACCUCCCUGGAGCACAGUGAGGAGGGUUGGGGGAUGGGGAGAGGACUAAGGAGCCCCGCCCCCCCGCUCUCAGCUGCAGCUCAUGGCAAAAUGCACGCUAUUCCUCUAUGGGAAUAGAGCUCUACCAGGCUGCUCAUUGGAAUAAACUAAAGAACUUUUUACAAAUACGAAGUGGUGGGCCUCAGCCCAAAGUAAUUCAGUCCAAAUCACUGGCAUUGGUCUUUGACAAACGCCUCCAAGUGAUUCCACUUAACAUUCCAGGUCCUAUUAAGUUUUGAAGCAUCAGUGUUGGGAAGCUAUUCUAAUUUGCUUACAGACAUGAUCCAUGAUUUCACGGAUCUUAAAGACCACUGGAAGGUCUAGACUUGACCAAGGAGUUACAUCACGUGUACAA